rnacentral:misc_RNA from 1 species
UUUCCGUAGGUGAACCUGCGGAAGGAUCAUUAUUGUAUAACCGAGGUGCGAGUGCUGUCGCUGACCCGAAAUGUUGUGCACGUCCGAGUGCCCCCACACCCUUCCAUCUCACCCCUAUGUGCACCACCGCGUGGGUCCCCCUUUGGCUUGUUCGGAGGGGGGCUUACGUUUUCACACAAACUUUGUAUGCAGUGUAGAAUGUAUGUUUUGUUUUUGCGAUCACGCAAUCAAUACAACUUUCAACAACGGAUCUCUUGGCUCUC